UUCUCAGAAUUCCAGAUGUGU
ensembl:piRNA 21ur-74 ncRNA